UACGUAGGGGGCAAGCGUUGUCCGGAUUUAUUGGGCGUAAAGAGCGCGCAGGCGGCUGGUCAAGUCCGAUGUGAAAGCUCCCGGCUUAACUGGGAAAUUGCAUCGGAAACUGAUCGGCUGGAAGGUGGGAGAGGGUAGCGGAAUUCCCGGUGUAGUGGUGAAAUGCGUAGAUAUCGGGAGGAACACCAGGGGCGAAAGCGGCUACCUGGCCCAUUCUUGACGCUGAGGCGCGAAAGCUAGGGUAGCAAACGGG
rnacentral:rRNA from 1 species